UGAACGCUGGCGGAAUGCUUUACACAUGCAAGUCGAACGGCAGCACGGGGGCAACCCUGGUGGCGAGUGGCGAACGGGUGAGUAAUGUAUCGGAACGUACCCAGUCGUGGGGGAUAACUAUCCGAAAGGAUAGCUAAUACCGCAUACGUCCUGAGGGAGAAAGCGGGGGAUCGCAAGACCUCGCGCGAUUGGAGCGGCCGAUAUCGGAUUAGCUAGUUGGUGAGGUAAAGGCUCACCAAGGCGACGAUCCGUAGCGGGUCUGAGAGGACGACCCGCCACACUGGAACUGAGACACGGUCCAGACUCCUACGGGAGGCAGCAGUGGGGAAUUUUGGACAAUGGGGGAAACCCUGAUCCAGCCAUUCCGCGUGAGUGAAGAAGGCCUUCGGGUUGUAAAGCUCUUUCAGCAGGAACGAAACGGUCGGCUUUAAUAAAGUCGGCUAAUGACGGUACCUGCAGAAGAAGCACCGGCUAACUACGU
rnacentral:rRNA from 1 species